UACGGAGGGUGCAAGCGUUAUCCGGAUUCACUGGGUUUAAAGGGUGCGUAGGUGGUCUGUUAAGUCAGCGGUGAAAGCCUGGAGCUCAACUCCAGAAUUGCCAUUGAUACUGACGGACUUGAAUCAAGUUGAGGUGGAUGGAAUAUUACAUGUAGCGGUGAAAUGCUUAGAUAUGUAAUAGAACACCAAUUGCGAAGGCAGUUCACUAAGCUUGCAUUGACACUGAUGCACGAAAGCGUGGGGAGCAAACAGG
rnacentral:rRNA from 1 species